rnacentral:rRNA from 1 species
CCUACGGGAGGCAGCAGUAGGGAAUUUUCCGCAAUGGGCGAAAGCCUGACGGAGCAAUACCGCGUGAGGGAUGACGGCCUGUGGGUUGUAAACCUCUUUUCUCAAGGAAGAAGUUCUGACGGUACUUGAGGAAUAAGCAUCGGCUAACUCUGUGCCAGCAGCCGCGGUAAUACAGAGGAUGCAAGCGUUAUCCGGAAUCACUGGGCAUAAAGCGUCUGUAGGUUGUUUAGUAAGUCUGCUGUUAAAGACUGGGGCUUAACCCCAGAAAAGCAGUGGAAACUGCUAGACUCGAGUGUGGUAGAGGUAGAGGGAAUUCCUAGUGCAGCGGUGAAAUGCGUAGAUAUUAGGAAGAACACCAAUGGCGAAGGCACUCUACUGGGCCAUAACUGACACUGAGAGACGACAGCUAGGGGAGCAAACGGGAUUAGAUACCCCGGUAGUCCUAGCCGUAAACGAUGGAUACUAGAUGUUGCACGUAUUAACCCGUGCAGUAUCGUAGCUAAGGCGUUAAGUAUCCCGCCUGGGAAGUACGCUCGCAAGAGUGAAACUCAAAGAGUAGUGACGNGNGAGAGCGACGACGACGACGAGGAGGAGGAG